UACAGAGGGGGCUAGCGUUGUUCGGAAUUACUGGGCGUAAAGGGCGCGUAGGCGGCCCGCUAAGUCGAACGUGAAAUCCCCGGGCUCAACCCGGGAACUGCGUCCGAUACUGGCGGGCUUGAAUCCGGGAGAGGGAUGUGGAAUUCCAGGUGUAGCGGUGAAAUGCGCAGAUAUCGGGAGGAACACCUAUGGCGAAGGCAGCUCGCUGGGACGGCACUGACGCUGAGACGCGAAAGCGUGGGGAGCAAACAGG
rnacentral:rRNA from 1 species